rnacentral:rRNA from 1 species
GACGAACGCUGGCGGCGUGCCUAAUACAUGCAAGUAGGACGCAGUUGCGAACGGGUGAGUAACGCGUAGGUAACUACCUAUUAGAGGGGGAUAACUAUUGGAAACGAUAGCUAAUACCGCAUACUAGUAGAUGGACCUGCGUUGUAUUAGCUAGUAGGUAGGGUAAUGGCCUACCUAGGCAACGAAUCAUAGCCGACCUGGGGAGGUGAGCGGCACAAAUGGAGCUGAGGAACGGGCCAAAUCCCUACGGGAGGGAACAGGGGGGGAUCAUCGGCAAUGGGGGGAACCCUGACCGAGCAAAGCCGCGUGAGUGAAAAAGGUUUUCGGAUCGUAAAGCUCUGUUGUUUAGGAAACGGUACUUAACCAGAAAGGGACGGCUAACUACGUGCCAGCAGCCGCGGUAAUUC